UAUGACUCUUAUCAAAGUAGCGAAAUACCUCGUCACUUAAUUAGUGACCUGCAUGAACGGAGCUAUGAGGUUCUCACUGUCCCAAACUGUCUCUCAGCGAACCAACUGUAGUGGGAACGGGCACUAACUAUCCAGCGGGGAAAGAAGACCCUGUAGAGCUUCACUUUGGUCUAGUCUUGUAUAGUUCUGGCGGGGACUCAGCUAGGUGGGAGAGCAAUCGACCAUGAGAAACCACUGCCCUGUUUAGAAUUAUACUUACCUUUACAACCAAGGAAUAGGACUAGAUAGAAAGUUUGGCUGGGGCGGCACACCUUCGAAAGAGCAGCGAAGGUGUCCUAAGUUGAGCUCAGUGAGGACAGAAAUCUCACGUUGAGGAUAAGGCCAAAAGCUCAUUUUACUGUGCCUUUUUGUACUAGGACCAGUUACGAAAGUAAGGCCUAACGAUCCC
rnacentral:rRNA from 1 species